UUGUGCAGUGCCCCACUCAAAAAAGUGCCAUUCAGGUAUACUAAAAUAUGAUUGGCACCAUUUUGAGUGUGGUAAUUCACAA
rfam:Ailuropoda melanoleuca scaffold460_54, whole genome shotgun sequence.